rnacentral:rRNA from 1 species
CACGUAGUUAGCCGUGGCUUUCUGAUUAGGUACCGUCAAGAUGUGCACAGUUACUUACACAUUUGUUCUUCCCUAAUAACAGAGUUUUACGAGCCGAAACCCUUCAUCACUCACGCGGCGUUGCUCCGUCAGGCUUUCGCCCAUUGCGGAAGAUUCCCUACUGCUGCCUCCCGUAGGGGUCUGGACCGUGUCUCAGUUCCAGUGUGGCCGAUCACCCUCUCAGGUCGGCUACGUAUCGUCGCCUUGGUAAGCCGUUACCUUACCAACUAGCUAAUACGGCGCGGGUCCAUCUAUAAGUGAUAGCAAAACCAUCUUUCACUUUAGAACCAUGCGGUUCUAAAUGUUAUCCGGUAUUAGCUCCGGUUUCCCGAAGUUAUCCCAGUCUUAUAGGUAGGUUACCCACGUGUUACUCACCCGUCCGCCGCUAACUUCAAAGGAGCAAGCUCCUUAUCUGUUCGCUCGACUUGCAUGUAUUAGGCACGCCGCCAGCGUUCAUCCUGAGCCAGGAUCAAACUCU